rnacentral:rRNA from 1 species
GAUGAACGCUGGCGGCGUGCCUAAUACAUGCAAGUCGAGCGAACAGACGAGGAGCUUGCUCCUCUGACGUUAGCGGCGGACGGGUGAGCAACACGUGGAUAACCUACCUAUAAGACUGGGAUAACUUCGGGAAACCGGAGCUAAUACCGGAUAAUAUAUUGAACCGCAUGGUUCAAUAGUGAAAGACGGUUUUGCUGUCACUUAUAGAUGGAUCCGCGCCGCAUUAGCUAGUUGGUAAGGUAACGGCUUACCAAGGCGACGAUGCGUAGCCGACCUGAGAGGGUGAUCGGCCACACUGGAACUGAGACACGGUCCAGACUCCUACGGGAGGCAGCAGUAGGGAAUCUUCCGCAAUGGGCGAAAGCCUGACGGAGCAACGCCGCGUGAGUGAUGAAGGUCUUCGGAUCGUAAAACUCUGUUAUUAGGGAAGAACAAAUGUGUAAGUAACUAUGCACGUCUUGACGGUACCUAAUCAGAAAGCCACGGCUAACUACGUG